GACGAACGCUGGCGGCGUGCCUAAUACAUGCAAGUCGAGCGAGCGGCGGACGGGUGAGUAACACGUAUGGAACCUACCGAUAAGCGGGGGACAACCUCCGGAAACGGGUGCUAAUACCCCAUACUUAUCGCUGGCCUUGCGGUGCAUUAGCUCGGUGGGGGGGUCACGGCCUACCCAGGCUAUGAUGCAUAGCCGACCUGAGAGGGGAAUCAGCCACAUUGGGCCGGAGACACGGCCCAAACUCCUACGGUAGGCAGCAGUGGGGAAUCUUGCGCAAUGGGCGCAAGCCUGACGGAGCAACGCCGCGUGAGUGAAGAAGGUCUUCGGAUCGUAAAGCUCUGUUGUAAGAGAAGCGGGAUCUUACCAGAGAGCAACGGCUAACUACGUGCCAGCAGCCGCGGUAAUAC
rnacentral:rRNA from 1 species